CACGUAGGGCGCAAGCGUUGUCCGGAAUUAUUGGGCGUAAAGAGCUCGUAGGCGGCUCGUCACGUCGGCUGUGAAAACCCGGGGCUCAACCCCGGGCCUGCAGUCGAUACGGGCGAGCUAGAGUUCGGCAGGGGAGACUGGAAUUCCUGGUGUAGCGGUGAAAUGCGCAGAUAUCAGGAGGAAUACCGAUGGCGAAGGCAGGUCUCUGGGCUGACACUGACGCUCAUGCACGAAAGCGUGGGGAGCAAACAGG
rnacentral:rRNA from 1 species